GGGAAUGUAGCUCAGUGGUAGAGUGCUCACCUAGCAAGCCAAGGUUCUGGGUUCCAUCCCUAGCACCCA
rfam:Ictidomys tridecemlineatus contig093103, whole genome shotgun sequence.